UUACCAUGCAGUCGAACGCUGUAGCAAUACAGAGUGGCAGACGGGUGCGUAACACGUGGGAACAUACCUUUUGGUUCGGAAUAACUUGGGGAAACUUAAGCUAAUACCGGAUAAGCCCUUCGGGGGAAAGAUUUAUUGCCGAAAGAUUGGCCCGCGUCUGAUUAGCUAGUUGGUGAGGUAAUGGCUCACCAAGGCGACGAUCAGUAGCUGGUCUGAGAGGAUGAUCAGCCACACUGGGACUGAGACACGGCCCAGACUCCUACGGGAGGCAGCAGUGGGGAAUAUUGGACAAUGGGCGCAAGCCUGAUCCAGCCAUGCCGCGUGAGUGAUGACGGCCUUAGGGUUGUAAAGCUCUUUUACCUGGGAAGAUAAUGACUGUACCAGGAGAAUAAGCCCCGGCUAACUUCGUGCCAGCAGCCGCGGUAAUACGAAGGGGGCUAGCGUUGUUCGGAAUCACUGGGCGUAAAGCGCACGUAGGCGGACUUUUAAGUCAGGGGUGAAAUCCUGAGGCUCAACCUCAGAACUGCCUUUGAUACUGGGAGUCUUGAAUUCGAGAGAGGUAAGUGGAAUUGGUAGUGUAGAGGUGAAAUUCGUAGAUAUUACCAGGAACACCAGUGGCGAAGGCGGCUUACUGGCUCGAUAUUGACGCUGAGGUGCGAAAGCGUGGGGAUCAAACAGGAUUAGAUACCCUGGUAGUCCACGCUGUAAACGAUGAAUGCUAGCCGUUGGACAGCUUGCUGUUCAGUGGCGCCGUUAACACAUUAAGCAUUCCGCCUGGGGAGUACGUCGCAGAU
rnacentral:rRNA from 1 species